UAUAAUCAGUGAUUUUCUAGAAAGGCAGGAGAAAUGCAACCUCCUGGCUACAAAGGGUGAGAAACAAUAUGCCCUGGGAGGGGGCAGGGGAAGAGAAUGGUUGCAUGCAGCUCUUCAGCCCAAUUGACAGGGAACUGAAAUGUUGCCUCUUGGCUUGGGGUUCUGUAUUUGCAUAAGCAGCCUGAGCAAGAAGGGGUGUGGAAAGCCUGAAUUAGGCAUGAUGAAGAAAAAGCCCCAAAUUCGAAUUCAUAAGUACAGUGUACUCCCUUUCAAAUGAGAACGCGCCCUGAUUGAAAAAUGACAGCAAGACUCAUCCUGUAUUUUGUUCUGUCUUGAAAUCGAUGAAUCCCAAAAAACAAUGGUUAUAGAAAUCUUGGUGACUCUUUCUUGUACAUUUAUUCUACUCACUGCAAGUCAGUAAUAAUAGUGAUAAUUCAAAGUACACCUGCAUUUCACAUGCAGUAAUUCAGCUCACCUUCACAAUCAUGCUCUGAGAUAGGAUCGGUAUUAUACUCAUUGUACAGGUAAAGAAAGCAAGGCUCAGAUGUUCAGAGAUUUUCAUCACUAAUAAAUGACCGGACUGGAACUCAUAUUCUCAUGAUAUACUGAGCCCAGGUGCUACCACAUUCUGCUGCUGAACAACAUUACCAAAGAAAAUUUAUCCCAAAUAUAAUGGAAGCGGAUUUUUUUUUUUUUUUUUUACCUCUCAGCAACAUUGGGCCCUGCUGCCAGCCCAUUCCUGCCUUCUUGAAACCCUCUGCUUUCUUUAUUCUUGGAAAUUGCUCUUUAUUGAUUUGCGUAUUGCCUCAUAGACUUUCUCAGUCUUUUCCCAGAUUUCCUCUUCUUGGCCUUCUGUCCCUUUCCCUCAAGGUCUGCCAUCAGUGAGCAACCUCAUCCACUCCUCUUUUUUCAUUUAUUCAUUUAACAAGUAUCUUUUUUAGGCACCUCCUAUGUGCAACGCACUCGUCUGGCCACAUGGGAUAAGACAGGGAAUAACAGUCAUCUCUCUGCACAAGAAAAAGUUUAUAUUGUUGGGUGGGUGCAGAGGAGACAGAGAAAAACGAAUUGGCAGGCUCCCUUUACAGUGGCAAGAUGGUGUCCCAGGGUUCCAGGCUUGCACCCUCAUCCACCCUCCAGAAGAUAAAAGAGAACUUCUUUUCUCUAUAACUGCACAGAAACCAUUGGAGUCUUGUACCCUCUCCUGAACCAAUGACCUGGGCCAGGGAAAUAGCAUUGUUCUGAUUGGCCAAGCAUGGAGGUUGAAUCAGCUCCACUAUGAACUGAGAGCAAAGAACUGUUGCCCCUGAGGAAAAAUCAAGACUCUUGCAGGAAAAGAAUGGACAGUAGGCAGGUAGAGCGAUGCGUGCCCACUACUCUCAGCUGUGGCACCCAAUUCACUCUGUCUCGUACUAUGGUCAUGCUUCCAUGUGUAUCUGCCCUCAGAUUGAGAGCCCCCGAGAACAAGGACUAUCCAUUUGUUAUCCUUGUAUCCCUGAGGCCCAGGACAAUCCUUGGAUAUAGCACAAGCUCAAUAAAUAUUUCUUGGCAUGAA